rnacentral:lncRNA from 1 species
CUUACCCUCCCUCAAAUACCCUGCUCUACAUGAAGUUAAAUAAUCCCAAUCCUAAACUGCUGGAAAGCAAAGGUGAGAAAUGGCAUACGACCUCAGAGGCUACUGUUUUAUAUUAUACAUUCAAAAUCAAGGAAAUUUAAAAGUGUUUUCUAUGAAACUAGAUCGAACUCGGGUCCUUGCGCUUGCGCAGCAGGAGGGGAAACCACUGAGCUAAAUCUCCGCCCCCUACACUCUAUUUUUGAUGCUGAAAUGAUUGUAAUACAAGUACAAUAAAAUUCUGAACUUCCUAGAAUUGUGUAAUAUUU